GAUGAAGAACGUAGCGAAAUGCGAUAAGUCAUGUGAAUUGCAGAAUUCAGUGAAUCAUCGAGUCUUUGAACGCACAUUGCGCCCCCUGGUAUUCCGGGGGGCAUGCCUGUCCGACCGUCAUUGCUGCCCUCAAGCACGGCUUGUGUGUUGGGCCUCCGUCCUCCUCCCGGGGGACGGGCCCGAAAGGCAGCGGCGGCACCGCGUCCGGUCCUCGAGCGUAUGGGGCUUCGUCACCCGCUCUUGUAGGCCCGGCCGGCGCUUGCCGACACAUCAAUCUUUUUUCCAGGUUGACCUCGGAUCAGGUAGGGAUACCCGCUGAACUUAAGCAUAUCAAUAAGCGGAGGA
rnacentral:misc_RNA from 1 species